rnacentral:misc_RNA from 1 species
GAUGAAGAACGUAGCGAAAUGCGAUAAGUAAUGUGAAUUGCAGAAUUCAGUGAAUCAUUGAAUCUUUGAACGCACAUUGCGCCUGCCAGCACUCUGGCAGGCAUGCCUGUUCGAGCGUCAUUUCAACCAUCAAGCCCUAGGCUUGCGUUGGAGCCCUGCGGCUGCCGCAGGCCCCUAAAAGCAGUGGCGGGCUCGCUAUCACACCGAGUGCAGUAGAUUACUCUUCGCUCAGGGCGUGUGGCGGGUUCCAGCCGUGAAACCCCCUACUUCUCAAGGUUGACCUCGGAUCAGGUAGGAAUACCCGCUGAACUUAAGCAUAUCAAUAAGCGGAGGA